GAUGAACGCUGGCGGCGUGCUUAACACAUGCAAGUCGAACGGGGUGCCUUUGAAAGAGGAUUCGUCCAAUUGAUAAGGUUACUUAGUGGCGGACGGGUGAGUAACGCGUGAGGAACCUGCCUUGGGAGUGGGAAUAACACAGUAGAAAAUUGUGACUAAUACCGCAUAAUGCAGGUUGGGUCGCAUGACUCUGACUGACCAAAGUAUUUAUCGCUCUGAGAUCGGCCUCGCGUCUGAUUAGCUAGUUGGUGGGGUAACGGCCCACCAAGGCGACGAUCAGUAGCCGGACUGA
rnacentral:rRNA from 1 species